UAAAAUGAAGCACACCGUCAAGCCUCGCUAGGACUCCACGAAACCACUUCUCAGCACCGUUCUAGCCGCUGUGUUUCCAUGUGACCAAACACCAGAUUUCUUCUCCCUGGAAUGCCUCCUCGGCUAUGCAUGGGACCGUAUUCCAGAGCCAUUAGGCCUCAAUAGAAACCAUCUACUAUACUUCCACGCAUAGCUCAGGCCUGGCUUUAUGGCCAUGCCGAAACUCCCGCUGGGCAGGAUAAUCCCUACCGGGACUCGUCCGAGACCAGGCAAAUAUAGAUGGACCACAGCGACCCACCCUCCCCAUCCAUCUCGUGACAAUGCUAGGAGAACCAUGCACGUCGAAUAAAUAGAGAGAGAGAGAUAAGAUGCACUGCCGGGAUUCUUCUACGACGCUGUUCAGAGCCUAAGAAAAGGCCUUGGGUAUUAGUCAAGACAAGUGGUGAAGGUCCGCGGGGUAGCCUGAUUUGGGGCUCGACCCGAGCACUGGCGAUUGCUCGUCAGAGUUCGCGUUCUCCACCACAUAGUCGCUGCACCAUGGUCGAAGGUCUCUUCGGCAUGAACCUUGGUGAGAUUCCUACCCCUUUGGUUUGCUUUCUUGUCCGCUCAGCGUAGCUCUAACCAUAAGGGCUUGUUCGGUUACACCAAUCCAGAGGGGGAUUGGAGGGGUUUAAAUCCCCGUCUAGUCAUUUUUGACUAGGAGGGGAUUUAAUCCUCUCCAAUCCUCCUCUGGAUUGGUGUAACCGAACAUGCCCUAAGGGGGGAACGGAACUCCGGUGUUAGAUUGGGCGGCACACCGGUGAGGGUGCUACCGCGGGGGUGCCAUGCGCACCUGGCUCAUCGUGCUGAGGAAAGAAGGAGAGCUGAGGGUUGAUGGAUGUAGAUGAACGAAUCUGAUUAGACAAUGAAUAGCGCUUCGACCGGAGCGUUCAGUGCCGUCGGAUCCGAAAUAGAUUGCUCGGGUUAUAUCUGGGUGUGGGAUAAGGGGUCCAUGGAUCUAAGAUUCAGCGACCAUCGUUGGACGUCGGUUCAAUGGGGUUAAAUCUAAUUUCAACUGCUGAUAUCAGAUCGGUCGGCCCUUGUAAGCCUAUACCCCUUUGACCGGGCUUUCUUGCAUAAGUGCCCCUGCCUUUUUUAUAAAGCAAUCCGCCAUCCUCAGCCAUAAGGGAUCCUUAUAUCUAGGUCCCUGAAAUUUAUAAAACAACUCCUAGAUUUAUAAAGAAAUUCUGGAAACUGAUUUAUAAUAUAAAAAUAAUUGUAGAAGGUUAGAAAAAUCAUAUCUUCCACGUUCUCCAUUUUAACCCGUUCAAGUUGCAUUAACUUCAUAAUAAUAUUUUCUACGCUGUAACAACAUCAAUUGUACCAUAUCACAUAUUUUAUAAUUAGAUAUUUAUUUAACCUAAGUUUAGUAGAUUAAUAUUGAUGAUCAAAGUUAAUCUAUCUAUAAUUAUAAUUUGACUGAAAUAUAAUCUGUGAUCAAGUUAUAACCUAGAUUAAGAUUUAAUUAGUUAGUUAUUUGGGAUAUCUUUUCUCACAUAAGUAUAUUAAUCAAACCUAGAUUAUAGUUCUCCUGUUUAAUCAUCUAAAACUUAGAAAGCCCAUAUCUUCCUCAAUUUAGCCCUGAUUUUAGUGGUUCUUGAACCUACGAUCUCGUAGCGGCCCGUAGAAUUUUCCUACGCAAUUGUUUCCAUGUUUGGUGGAAUGUUAUAUUUUAUGUAUUCCUUGUCUAGUUGUAUGUAUUGCUACGAGUAGCAGCGAAGUCACAAGAAACCCGAAGACUUACUUGGAGAAGUACCAGGAAUCUCAAGUCAUAGGCAAGUUGUGCCCUUGAUCACUCUUCUUUACCUAAUAAUGUUCCUGUUAAUCACUAUGACAUGCUUAGGUUAAUUUGAUGGGACCUAAUAGGUUUCCUAGUUUUCUUCACCAUACACCUUGCAAACAAAUGAACUAUUGGGUAGACUUGCUAUUGCUCUACUCGGUUUUGGGAUUAAUGCUUUGUUGAAUUACGAUCAUGUUCCAUUAUUGUUAUUGUUGGUUUAAUUAUUGUUCAAGAUAAGAUUAUUGAGUUAAAAGGAACAUGGAGAACCACCCAGGAAAAUAGUGCUACCACAAGGGUGGUAUGGGACGUCCUUGGUUGAUUAAUUAGGAAAGCUAAUGGAUGGUGGAUGACUACCUUACCUGAAAGGGCAAGGGCAGCAGAGGAGCUGCCGGUAUAUGGAGGUUCUCAGAUUGAUCAUGCUGCGAUGGCUUUUCGGACGAGGGAUUCCUAUAUCGCCCUUCUCAGAAACCGUAGCAGGUUUUCUGAAGCUAGUGGAACUUUGUAAAAGCCUCGUAGUGAUACCCUGCCUCGUCUCCUCGGUAGAGAUGUAUGGGAUUCAUGCCCCCAUGGCAAAUGGGUAACACGACUUGUGUGUAAAGAUGUGCAACCUCUGCAGAGUGUAGAACUAGUAUAUCAGCCAUGCUCACGGUCAUGAGCGGCUCAGACACUCACAUGAUUAACUUAUGGAAUUAAACUUAAUCUGUCAUUUGCAUUUGCAUUGUGGGUUUUAUUAUUAAAUUGUGAUCUCUUAUUUAUUUGUGAUGGUAUCUACUUACACUUAGUAACUGCUAAUAAAUUUUGACCAACUUCAAUAGCAAAGCUCAGCUUUAACCAUCUUCUUUGGUAAUCCUUACACUUCACAUGAGCCCCCACCAUAAGUGAGCUCAUGCACAUUAUUCCCUACAACUAGUUGAGCGAUGAACGUAUGUGAGCUCACCCUCGCUGUACUCACAUCCCCCCAGGUCAAGGAAGGUACCACAAGAUGAGGAGCAUGAAGGAGGUCGCGAUGAGUUCGUGAGUGGUCUAGGCCGUCGUCUCCUAGUAAACUAUGGUUGCUGGAUCGUUGUCUUCAUAUGAUGUAAUUAUUUAGCAAUUUUGUACAGAACUCCUAUUAUAUAGUAAAGAUAUGACAUUCGAUUCUGUACCAUGAGUCAUCAUAUAUGUGAGACUUCAUCCUAGCAAACAUUUGAUUUGCGCCCGGGUUUGCCCCUAAAUCCGGAUGUGACAGAAGUGGUAUCAGAGGAAUGUUGAAUGUAGGACGUAACCUAGAUAGACUUGGUCAAGCCCUUACCUACUU
rnacentral:lncRNA from 1 species